GGGAAGAUGGCUUAGUGGUAGAGUGCUUGCCUAGCAUGCAUGAAGCCCUGGGUUCAAUUCCUCAGUACCA
rnacentral:tRNA from 1 species